GCUCUAGUGGUGCAAUUGGUUAGCAUAUAGUACUUGUAAUGCUGAGGUUGUGAGUUUGAUCCUCACCUAGAGCA